rnacentral:rRNA from 1 species
GAUGAACGCUAGCGGCAGGCCUAAUACAUGCCAGUCGAACGGGAUCCAGAUCAAAGCUUGCUUUGGUCUGGUGAGAGUGGCGCACGGGUGCGUAACGCGUGAGCAACCUACCCUUGUCAGGGGGAUAGCCCGGCGAAAGUCGGAUUAAUACCGCAUGACAUCAUUGAGAGGCAUCUUUCGAUGAUCAAAGAUUUAUCGGACAAGGAUGGGCUCGCGUGACAUUAGCUAGUUGGUAAGGUAACGGCUUACCAAGGCUGCGAUGUCUAGGGGCUCUGAGAGGAGAAUCCCCCACACUGGUACUGAGACACGGACCAGACUCCUACGGGAGGCAGCAGUAAGGAAUAUUGGUCAAUGGACGGAAGUCUGAACCAGCCAUGCCGCGUGCAGGAAGACGGCCCUAUGGGUUGUAAACUGCUUUUAUACGGGAACAAACGUCGGUACGUGUACCGGUCUGAGUGUACGUAAGAAUAAGGAUCGGCUAACUCCGUG